rnacentral:tRNA from 1 species
GGGCGCGUGGCGUAACUGGUAGCGCAGCGGUCUCCAAAACCGCAGGUUGCAGGUUCGAGUCCUGCCGCGCCUG